rnacentral:lncRNA from 1 species
GGUGAAUCGGCCUGGAAGCUGUUCAUUCUCUCCCAAGCCUGAAACAGCGGAUAAACGACCCCACCUCAUGCUGGGAAGGGAGAGCUUGGGAUCCCUGGCACGUGAGAAAGAGAGCCUGGCAUAGAUCAGAGCUCUCCAUCCAGAGUGUCAUGACUUAGCUGCGUGCUUUCACCAGCAGGGAGGAGGGAACUGAUACUGGAGAAAUAUACUUUCCUCCUCCAUCAUGGUGAUUCAUAACCUUCUAAAACCUUAUGAUUCUGAAAACCCACACAAACACAUUGGGACCUCUCCCAGCCCUUGACUCACUGUCGGCAUUCUCAAGAUGACCACAAUGAGCAGCAUUGAAGAGCCAGCGUUCAAAUGCUUCUCCCACAUGGGAGUCAGUAUUCUGCAGAGAUGGAUGAUUCUCAGAUUACCACUUAGCUUCCUGAAGCCAGCAACCUAUGUCAAAGCAGCAGUAGGACAAAGAACAUGGCUGCCGCUUCAAAUCUUAUGUGAAUUCACCUCAUCACUGGAACCAAAUUUAUAUCUAAUAAAAAGUUUGAUAAUAGCAAGAUAGAGGAAGAUAAGAAGAUAUCCUGUAGAUCGGGGUCCCCAUGCUCCAGGCCAUGGACCGAUACUGUUAGGAACUGGGCUACACAGCAGGAGGUGAGCCGGGUGAGCAAGUGAAGCUUCAUCUGUAUUUAAAGCCCCUCUCUAUCACUCGCAUUACUGCCUGAGCUCCACCUCCUUUCAUCAGCGGGGGCAUUAGAUUCUCAUAGGAGCGCGAACCCUAUUGUGAACUGCACAUACGCGGAAUCUA